rnacentral:misc_RNA from 1 species
UUUCCGUAGGUGAACCUGCGGAAGGAUCAUUAUCGAUGGCCGCGCCGUGAGCGCUUCGGCGGGAUCGGCCGGCCACUGACCACACCCUUACUUUACGAGCACCUUUCGUUCUCCUUCGGCGGGGCAACCUGCCGCUGGAACUUAACAAAACCUUUUUUUGCAUCUAGCAUUACCUGUUCUGAUACAAACAAUCGUUACAACUUUCAACAAUGGAUCUCUUGGCUCUGGCAUCGAUGAAGAACGCAGC